UGCACACGACCUUAGCUGCAUCCCAAUGAUGAAUGAUAUGAAAAAAAUGUUAAAAGUAGUGACUGAUUAUACCUUGAUUACUAGUCAAUUCUGAGGGAUUCUAUCAGCUAAGCUAAAUUCAAUCCUUUUGCGCCAUCUCUUUGUUUACUUAACUCUCUAUGUGCCCUUCGAUGAUUAAUAAUAUAUUAAUGGUUAAAAGUAGUCUGAUAUCUUAUUGAU
rnacentral:sRNA from 1 species